rnacentral:rRNA from 1 species
AUGGAGGCGAACGAGGAGCAGUGCGAGCUUACCCUCCACUCCUCGCCGCCGUCGGUGCGGGAGCCCCCCGGCUUGUUCCUCUGCGUCUACUGCGGCCGCAACUUCUACAACUCGCAGGCGUUCGGUGGCCACCAGAACGCGCACAAGGAAGAGCGCCGCCUGGCCAAGCACCGCCGGGAAAAGGCCACCGCCAGGCGCGUGCAUGCGGAGUCGCCGCCAUCGCCGGUGCCUUCUUCACAUGACGCGGCGACGGCAAGGCUCACCGCUGAGGACCGUGCGGCCGGUCUGUUUCCAGCGGCUAAGAAGGCGAGGAUGAAGAUCCAGCUGGAGCGCGGCAGGAGCUUCCCGGAAUACGAUGGCGCGUGCACGGGGGGUGACGGGCUGGAUUUGUCUCUCCGGCUGUGA